GUGCUCACUUCCACAGCACAUAUACUAAAAUUGAAAUGAUACAGAGAAGAUUAGCAUGAUCCCUGUGUAAGGAUGACAUGCAAAUUCAUGAAGCAUUCCAUGUUUUU
rnacentral:snRNA from 1 species